ensembl:lncRNA
AUCAGCUGGUGCAGGGUACGGUGGCCCAGCAGUCCAAAUCACAGAUCGUGACCAAGGAAGUAUGCGGGUUGGAAAAUGAGCAGACCCUUGGAGGUCUUGAUGUGUUAGCCAAUAUGGUUUCAACUGAUCUCCUGCUCCUGAGUAUCUGGGACUACAGGUGUGGACCACCAUGCUCAUUCUCUGAAGAUUCGCUGGCUGCUUCGCAAGCGCAAGGACUGGAGUUCAAUCCCCAGUACCAAAGAAAAAAAACCAAAAAAUCAAAAGAAAAUGGGAAAAAAGCUGAAGCCAUAUUACUGACAAUCAAAUGCUCUUUGUUGGAAGUGUUAGGAGAUGGACAAUGUCUUCAUGUAAAAGUUACUGGGUACUGAUGUCUUCUGAAAGCAAGUUGUACCUUGGGAUGUGUUACCACAUAGACUAAGGGUUGCAUCCAUGCGCAUGUAUGUGGUGCUGGGGAUGGAACCCAGUGCCUUGCACAUGCCAGGCAAGUGCUCUACCACUGAGCUACACCUCAGCCCCCGUGUUGGCAACAAGUAAUUGUUGGAAAAAUCCAUGUGUCAAGGAACUGAAGGGUAUUAUCAAGCAGGAAACUGAGGCUUUCAGCCCAACAGUCUUUGAGGAAUCAAAAUCUGCCAGUUAUGAGAUGACCUUGGAAGUGGACCCUGCCUUUGUCAAGCCUUUUGAUGAGGCCCCGGCCCUAGAUGACAUCUUGAUUGCAGCCUUGUGAGAGACCAUGAAGAAGAGCACCCAGCCAAACUAUGCUUAGAUUUCUGACUAUGACCAUAAAAAAUUAUGGUUGUCAGCCACCAAAUUUG